AACCUCCGCAAUGUGAGAAAUCGCGACGGGGGGAUCCCAAGUGCCAUUCUUAACGGGAUGGCUUUUCAUUAGUGUAAAGAGCUUUUGGAAUAAGGGCUGGGCAAGACCGGUGCCAGCCGCCGCGGUAACACCGGCAGCUCUAGUGGUAGCAGUUUUUAUUGGGCCUAAAGCGUCCGUAGCCGGUUUAAUAAGUCUCUGGUGAAAUCCUGUAGCUUAACUGUGGGAAUUGCUGGAGAUACUAUUAGACUUGAGACCGGGAGAGGUUAGAGGUACUCCCAGGGUAGAGGUGAAAUUCUGUAAUCCUGGGAGGACCGCCUGUUGCGAAGGCGUCUGACUGGAACGGUUCUGACGGUGAGGGACGAAAGUUAGGGGCGCGAAACCGGGAUUGGAUACCCGGGUAGUCCUAACUGUAAACGAUGCGGACUUGGUGUUGGGGUGGCUUUGAGCUGCUCCAGUGCCGAAGGGAAGCUGUUAAGUCCGCCGCCUGGGAAGUACGGUCGCAAGACUGAAACUUAAGGAAUU
rnacentral:rRNA from 1 species